GAUGAACGCUGGCGGCGUGCCUAAUACAUGCCAGUAGAACGCUGAAGGAGGAGCUUGCUCUUCUGGAUGAGUUGCGAACGGGUGAGUAACGCGUAGGUAACCUGCCUGGUAGCGGGGGAUAACUAUUGGAAACGAUAGCUAAUACCGCAUGACAACAGUUAUUGCAUGAUAACUGUUUAAAAGGGGCAACUGCUCCACUACCAGAUGGACCUGCGUUGUAUUAGCUAGUUGGUGAGGUAACGGCUCACCAAGGCGACGAUACAUAGCCGACCUGAGAGGGUGAUCGGCCACACUGGGACUGAGACACGGCCCAGACUCCUACGGGAGGCAGCAGUAGGGAAUCUUCGGCAAUGGACGGAAGUCUGACCGAGCAACGCCGCGUGAGUGAAGAAGGUUUUCGGAUCGUAAAGCUCGGUUGUAAGAGAAGAACGAGGGUGAGAGUGGAAAGUUCACACUGUGACGGUAUCUUACCAGAAAGGGACGGCUAACUACGUG
rnacentral:rRNA from 1 species